AUUGAACGCUGGCGGCAGGCCUAACACAUGCAAGUCGAGCGAGCGGCGGACGGGUGAGUAAUGUAUGGGGACUGCCCGAUAGAGGGGGAUAACUACUGGAAACGGUAGCUACUACCGCAUACUAUCGGAUAACCCAUAUGGGAUUAGCUAGUAGGUGAGGUAAUGGCUCACCUAGGCGACGAUCCCUAGCUGGUCUGAGAGGAUGAUCAGCCACACUGGUACUGAGACAUGGCCCAGACUCCUACGGAGGCAGCAGUGUGGGUUAUUGCACAAGGGGUGGAAGCCUGAUGCAGCCAUGCCGCGUGUAUGAAGAAGGCCCUGGGGGUGGAAAGUACGGUUAGUCGGGAGGCGGUACCGGCAGAAGAAGCACCGGCUAAGUACGUGUCAGCAGCCGCGGUAAUUC
rnacentral:rRNA from 1 species